rnacentral:lncRNA from 10 species
GUAAAAUGCAAAAUAAUUGCAUGAAUAUGUGAAAUAAAACAGGAGAUUUAUAGUCAAAUGUGCUCUCCCACUCUUGUGUCUGGGCUGGGUCUCCCAAUCUCCAAAAAUGUGGUGGUAACAUGUUGUCUUCCAUUGCCUCUGCGGGAACUGAGAAGGGAGAGCUUCCCCAUUGUGUGUGAUGUUGGGCAACCCCUAUACCUCUCUGAGCCUCCCAU